rnacentral:rRNA from 1 species
GGUUAAGUGACUAAGCGUACACGGUGGAUGCCUUGGCAGUCAGAGGCGAUGAAGGACGUAGUAACUUGCGAUAAGCGUAGAUGAGGCAGUAACAGCCACUUGAGUCUACGAUUUCCGAAUGGGGAAACCCACUGGCAUAAGCCAGUAUCAUUGAGUGAAUACAUAGCUCAAUGAAGCGAACCGGGAGAACUGAAACAUCUAAGUACCCCGAGGAAAAGAAAUCAACCGAGAUUCCGAAAGUAGCGGCGAGCGAAAUUGGAUUAGCCCUUAAGCUUUACAUGUGUUAGACGAACGGUCUGGAAAGUCCGACGAUACAGGGUGAUAGUCCCGUAGUUGACGAUGCAUGUUCAGUGAAAUCGAGUAGGGCGGGACACGUGUUAUCCUGUCUGAAUAUGGGGGGACCAUCCUCCAAGGCUAAAUACUCCUGACUGACCGAUAGUGAACCAGUACCGUGAGGGAAAGGCGAAAAGAACCCCUGUGAGGGGAGUGAAAUAGAACCUGAAACCGUGUACGUACAAGCAGUAGGAGCACCUUCGUGGUGUGACUGCGUACCUUUUGUAUAAUGGGUCAGCGACUUAUAUUCAGUGGCAAGGUUAACCAUCUAGGGGAGCCGUAGGGAAACCGAGUCUUAACUGGGCGCCAUAGUCUCUGGAUAUAGACCCGAAACCGAGUGAUCUAGCCAUGGGCAGGUUGAAGGUUGAGUAACAUCAACUGGAGGACCGAACCGACUAAUGUUGAAAAAUUAGCGGAUGACUUGUGGCUAGGGGUGAAAGGCCAAUCAAACUCGGAGAUAGCUGGUUCUCCCCGAAAGCUAUUUAGGUAGCGCCUCGGACGAAUACUACUGGGGGUAGAGCACUGUUAAGGCUAGGGGGUCAUCCCGACUUACCAACCCUUUGCAAACUCCGAAUACCAGUAAGUACUAUCCGGGAGACACACGGCGGGUGCUAACGUCCGUCGUGGAGAGGGAAACAACCCAGACCGCCAGCUAAGGUCCCAAAUUACAGCUAAGUGGGAAACGAUGUGGGAAGGCUUAGACAGCUAGGAUGUUGGCUUAGAAGCAGCCAUCAUUUAAAGAAAGCGUAAUAGCUCACUAGUCGAGUCGGCCUGCGCGGAAGAUGUAACGGGGCUAAGUUGUAAACCGAAGCUGCGGCAAUGUUCUUUGAACAUUGGGUAGGGGAGCGUUCUGUAAGCCGUUGAAGGUGUGUUGUAAAGCAUGCUGGAGGUAUCAGAAGUGCGAAUGCUGACAUGAGUAACGACAAGGGGGGUGAAAAACCUCCCCGCCGGAAGACCAAGGGUUCCUGUCCAACGUUAAUCGGGGCAGGGUA